GUGUCCUGUGGAGAAAGGAGAGAUAACACAGACAGUAGACUUUAGCUAAUGCUGAAGUCUUGUUGUAGUCUGCUAGUUUCUUUGUGCUGCAAUAGUUUGUGUUCUGUGUGAGGUUGAUUAAGUUGGACUCUGACAACAACAACUGGUGUCCACCAUAGCUGAGGCAAGUGGGAGUGCCUGUGACCCAUAACAGACACUAUGAGAGCAGGAACAAUGACUCCUUGUAAGCGAUACUGAUGGAUGGUGUUGCCGCAGGGUAUGAAAACCAGUCCUACUAUGUCAAUGAUGCAGGGCCAUGGUGGCUUCCCACUAGGUGUGUUAAGCCUGUUUUGGAUCCUAGAAUUGACAAGAGGACAUCGGAUACCAGCUGUUCCGCAGACCCCUUGAGAGGAGAGUCACAACAUCUGGGUGAUGCUGAUGCAGAGCCUGAAUCGGAUGUAGCUUUGUGCCUUCUUAACUCAAUCUGAACAGCCUUUCCACACCUCCUGCCAAGGGCCCUACAAUAGAUGAUAGACACAGCCCUUUUAGUUAAAAACAAAAAGGGGGAGUUGUAGAGGAAUGAAGGCAGUGGGUUGAUUAGCAUUGAUAAUAUGCAGCUGUGGCCUUGCCUAGAAGGCAGUGGGUUGAUUGACAUGGAUGAUGUGUAGCUGUAGCUCAUUCCUGCUAAGUAGUUAAAUAGCCCUGAGGAUUGUGGGAAAGGGGUUGGAAUGACAGGGAGCAGUGUGGUUUGACCUCUGGAGGAAGGAGAUAGAGCACAGACAGUAGAAUCUGACUGAUGGUAAAGCCUUGUUGCAGCCUACUAGUGUUUGUGCUGCAAUAGUGAGGGUUGCUGCAAUCAGUGACAGGAGCUUUGG